rnacentral:rRNA from 1 species
GACGAACCGUGCGAACGUUGUUCGGAAUCACUGGGCUUAAAGGGCGCGUAGGCGGGCUGGCCAAAGUCCGGGGUGAAAUCCUUUCGGCCCAACCGGAAAAGUGCCUUGGAUACUGGCGGCCUGGAGGGAGGCAGGGGCGGAUGGAACUUCCGGUGGAGCGGUGAAAUGCGUUGAUAUCGGAAGGAACGCCGGUGGCGAAAGCGAUCCGCUGGACCUCUUACUGACGCUGAGGCGCGGAAAGCCAGGGGAGGCAAACGGGG